rnacentral:rRNA from 1 species
UACGGUGAAACUGCGAAUGGCUCAUUAAAUCAGUUAUCGUUUAUUUGAUAGUACCUUACUACAUGGAUAACCGUGGUAAUUCUAGAGCUAAUACAUGCUAAAAACCUCGACUUCGGAAGGGGUGUAUUUAUUAGAUAAAAAACCAAUGCCCUUCGGGGCUCCUUGGUGAAUCAUAAUAACUUAACGAAUCGCAUGGCCUUGCGCCGGCGAUGGUUCAUUCAAAUUUCUGCCCUAUCAACUUUCGAUGGUAGGAUAGUGGCCUACCAUGGUAUCAACGGGUAACGGGGAAUUAGGGUUCGACUCCGGAGAGGGAGCCUGAGAAACGGCUACCACAUCCAAGGAAGGCAGCAGGCGCGCAAAUUACCCAAUCCCGACACGGGGAGGUAGUGACAAUAAAUACUGAUACAGGGCUCUUUUGGGUCUUGUAAUUGGAAUGAGUACAAUUUAAAUCCCUUAACGAGGAACAAUUGGAGGGCAAGUCUGGUGCCAGCAGCCGCGGUAAUUCCAGCUCCAAUAGCGUAUAUUAAAGUUGUUGCAGUUAAAAAGCUCGUAGUUGAACCUUGGGCCUGGCUGGCCGGUCCGCCUCACCGCGUGUACUGGUCCGGCCGGGCCUUUCCUUCUGGGGAACCUCAUGCCCUUCACUGGGCGUGUUGGGGAACCAGGACUUUUACUUUGAAAAAAUUAGAGUGUUCAAAGCAGGCCUUUGCUCGAAUACAUUAGCAUGGAAUAAUAGAAUAGGACGUGUGGUUCUAUUUUGUUGGUUUCUAGGACCGCCGUAAUGAUUAAUAGGGAUAGUCGGGGGCAUCAGUAUUCAAUCGUCAGAGGUGAAAUUCUUGGAUUGAUUGAAGACUAACUACUGCGAAAGCAUUUGCCAAGGAUGUUUUCAUUAAUCAGUGAACGAAAGUUAGGGGAUCGAAGACGAUCAGAUACCGUCGUAGUCUUAACCAUAAACUAUGCCGACUAGGGAUCGGACGGUGUUAGUAUUUUGACCCGUUCGGCACCUUACGAGAAAUCAAAG